rnacentral:rRNA from 1 species
AGAGUUUGAUCCUGGCUCAGGAUGAACGCUGGCGGCGUGCUUAACACAUGCAAGUCGAACGAACCUUCGGGUGAGUGGCGGACGGGUGAGUAACGCGUGGGAAUCUGCCCUCAGGAGGGGGAUAACGACUGGAAACGGUCGCUAAUACCCCAUAUGCCGAGAGGUGAAAUGAAUUUCGCCUGAGGAUGAGCCCGCGUCUGAUUAGCUAGUUGGUGGGGUAAGAGCUCACCAAGGCGACGAUCAGUAGCUGGUCUGAGAGGAUGAUCAGCCACACUGGGACUGAGACACGGCCCAGACUCCUACGGGAGGCAGCAGUGGGGAAUUUUCCGCAAUGGGCGAAAGCCUGACGGAGCAACGCCGCGUGAGGGAUGAAGGCCUCUGGGCUGUAAACCUCUUUUCUCAAGGAAGAAGAUCUGACGGUACUUGAGGAAUAAGCCACGGCUAAUUCCGUGCCAGCAGCCGCGGUAAUACGGGAGUGGCAAGCGUUAUCCGGAAUCAUUGGGCGUAAAGCGUCCGCAGGUGGCUUUGUAAGUCUGCUGUUAAAGCGUGGAGCUUAACUCCAUUUCAGCGGUGGAAACUACAAAGCUUGAGUGUGGUAGGGGCAGAGGGAAUUCCCGGUGUAGCGGUGAAAUGCGUAGAUAUCGGGAAGAACACCAGUGGCGAAGGCGCUCUGCUGGGCCAUAACUGACACUCAUGGACGAAAGCCAGGGGAGCGAAAGGGAUUAGAUACCCCUGUAGUCCUGGCCGUAAACGAUGAACACUAGGCGUCGGGGGAAUCGACCCCCUCGGUGUCGUAGCCAACGCGUUAAGUGUUCCGCCUGGGGAGUACGCACGCAAGUGUGAAACUCAAAGGAAUUGACGGGGGCCCGCACAAGCGGUGGAGUAUGUGGUUUAAUUCGAUGCAACGCGAAGAACCUUACCAGGGUUUGACAUCCUGCGAACCCCUGAGAAAUCGGGGGGUGCCUUCGGGAACGCAGUGACAGGUGGUGCAUGGCUGUCGUCAGCUCGUGUCGUGAGAUGUUGGGUUAAGUCCCGCAACGAGCGCAACCCACGUCUUUAGUUGCCAGCAUUCAGUUGGGCACUCUAGAGAGACCGCCGGUGAUAACCGGAGGAAGGUGUGGAUGACGUCAAGUCAUCAUGCCCCUUACAUCCUGGGCUACACACGUACUACAAUGCUACGGACAAAGGGCAGCAAACUCGCGAGAGCAAGCAAAUCCCAUAAACCGUGGCUCAGUUCAGAUCGUAGGCUGCAACUCGCCAACGUGAAGGAGGAAUCGCUAGUAAUCGCAGGUCAGCAUACUGCGGUGAAUACGUUCCCGGGCCUUGUACACACCGCCCGUCACACCAUGGAAGUUAGCCACGCCCGAAGUCGUUACUCCAACCCUUGUGGAGGAGGAUGCCGAAGGUGGGGCUGAUGACUGGGGUGAAGUCGUAACAAGGUA